rnacentral:sRNA from 1 species
GCUGGGCACAGUGGCCCACACCUGUAAUCCCAGGGGCUGGGGAGGCUGAGGCAGGAGGAUUGCGAGUUCAAAACCAGCCUCAGUAACAGUGAGGCCCUAAGCAACUCUGUGAGACCCUGUCUCUA